GAUGAACGCUGGCGGCGUGCCUAAUACAUGCAAGUCGAGCGAAUGGAUUAAGAGCUUGCUCUUAUGAAGUUAGCGGCGGACGGGUGAGUAACACGUGGGUAACCUGCCCAUAAGACUGGGAUAACUCCGGGAAACCGGGGCUAAUACCGGAUAACAUUUUGAACCGCAUGGUUCGAAAUUGAAAGGCGGCUUCGGCUGUCACUUAUGGAUGGACCCGCGUCGCAUUAGCUAGUUGGCGAGGUAACGGCACACCAAGGCAACGGUGCGUAGCCGACCUGAGAGGGUGAUCGGCCAAACUGGGACUGAGACACGGCCAGACUCCUACGGGAGGCAGCAGUAGGGAAUCUUCCGCAAUGGACGAAAGUCUGACGGAGCAACGCCGCGUGAGUGAUGAAGGCUUUCGGGUCGUAAAACUCUGUUGUUAGGGAAGAACAAGUGCUAGUUGAAUAAGCUGGCACCUUGACGGUACCUAACCAGAAAGCCACGGCUAACUACGUGCCAGCCGCCGCCGUAA
rnacentral:rRNA from 1 species